UUUUCAGAAAUGCCGGCCCUAUUCUGGAAUGAUUCUGGAACUGUGGGGAAGACAAUUGAGAACUGAAGAUUAUCUUGACCUGAAGUUUAUCGUCCUUUGUGUGAGGGUGAUAAUGAGAAGCAAUGGACUAGAGGAUUCAAGUGGAAGAGUUUUGACCACCAGCGAGUCCUCCCGGGAACGUGAAUUGGAAACAAGCUAAGUGCAUUUUCUCAGCAGAAAGAAGAUGAGCUUACACAUCACCUAGUGACUAUCCAGUUGGGAAUCUGAAAGCACUAGUGGGCAACUGAGCUGUCCCCCACAGCUAUUCAGCAGGCGAUGCGCUUACAUGCUCCAGAAAAGGGGAAUCAGGAGCAGUGUUCAUCAGUGAAUGAAAGGAGCGCUGGAAAGAGAACCACAUGCUGA